AGUUUUCAGGUCUUUUAAGAUUUUCGCGAGAUCUUCACAGAAGGAAAGGCUUUUCUUUAGGGACUCGACUUUCUUCCGGGAAACUUAAUUCCAUAGUUUCCUCUCCCACCGAACAUCUUCCAACUACUCUCAAUUCCUCAUCCCUUUCUGCUUCUUUAUUGAGUCAAGAUGCUUUAGCUAUACGAAGAGAAGUGGAAUUUCUUAAUGUUUUUAUUGGAUUUGAACAAGCUAACCGUUAUUCUAUUAAUUCUAUCUCGGGUCAAGCUGUUGGAUUUAUGGCUGAAGAAAACAAAAUUUCGUCUAUUUUUUUGAGGAAUGUACUCCGAAGAAGGCGAUCAAUCAAAGUUUCUGUGUUGGAUUCCACUGGAAACGUCAUU